UACGGGGGGAGCAAGCGUUGUUCGGAUUUACUGGGCGUAAAGGGCGCGUAGGCGGCCACCGCAAGUCAGUUGUGAAAUCUCUGGGCUUAACCCAGAACGGUCAGCUGAUACUGCGGGGCUAGAGUGCAGAAGGGGCAACUGGAAUUCUCGGUGUAGCGGUGAAAUGCGUAGAGAUCGGGAGGAAGGCCGGUGGCGAAGGCGGCGCUCUGGAACGUUUCUGACGCUGAGGCUCGAAAGCGUGGGGAGCAAACAGG
rnacentral:rRNA from 1 species